AGGAAGAAUUCCUCCGUUCAAAAUGGAGAGUCAAGGUCCAUUCUUGAUCUGUGAUGAAGACCAUGUGAUGUGAUCGAAAGCUGUUUUCGGAGGUCAAGAAUGAAACUCCUCUCUUUUCAAACUCUGCUGUGU